AGGAAACUACUUUUUCAUUGGUCUUCUUGUGGUAGCCUUAACAGUCUUCUAAAAGGUAUACAAGAAAAUUUGAACAGGUGAUAUUAUGUGCAAGUUAAUAAUAUCUUUCUCCCUCCACCAAACUCAUUUUUCUAGUAUAUUUAGGUAUUUAAAAUACCCUCAGAUUAUUCUGUAUUUAUUUUAUCCAGAGUAUGGAUUCAUAUUCCUCCAGUCAAGAUGUGCUAAGAGCCUAAUUUUCUUUUAAUUUCAUGGAGAACAAUUGACUAGCCACUAAGAACAGUUAUUAAAACUUGCCAGUUUUCAACUUAAAAUCAGUGAACAUUUGGCAUUUCCUUAAGAAAAGUUUUGCGAGUUUUGCUUUU
rnacentral:lncRNA from 1 species